CAUUUGCAAGAAAAAUCUGAAGUUAAGUUUUGCUUAUGUUUGCAAUCAAGCAAGGUUUAGGUCACUUAAGAGGCCUAACUUGUUUUGUCUGCUCAGAGAUUCUUCAGGCCUGACCUCCACUUUAAUUUACUUGAAGAGCAUCGAAUAUGAAUCUGCAGAAUUUCAGUGAAACUAUAGAGGAAGAAUGGAGGAGGUGGAGCUGAGGCAGUAAUGCGAGUGAUGGGGAGCAGCUGUAAAUACAGAUGAAGCUUGGCUCGCUUGCCUGCUGCUCAGCUCCUGCUGUGCGGGCUGGUUCCUAACGAGCAAGAAGAAACCUGGAGGACACUUUGGUUUCAUCAAGCAACACUUGCCACCAGGAAGGCGUUGAGUGCCAAUUCCACACCCAAUACCCCCAGGUGGUCAAGGGGUUUGAAGGCACGACUAUUCAUAUGAUUUGGGAGAGGUUGCUGAAUCUCCAGGAGAUACCCUUGUGAGCUUCAGACUGGGGUCUGUGUCUGGGACUGGAAGACCCCAGGACAUUGGAGAGAGGAGCAAAGCCUAGAGCAUGAGCCCCAGAAGACGCCACUGUGCCGGUGCACCACCUGGGGACUUUGGCUUAUGUGGAUUCUGUUUCAGUAGAUCUGGGUGGGAUCGAGAUCUUUUAUUUCCAACCAACACCCACGUCCCAGGACCUCACUGGAAAGAGGCGGGCGGGCGCGGGGAGCCUUCCUGAGGUUCCUGGUUCUCAAGAGCCGGGUGUAAGGAAGGAAAAUCAAAGAUUGAAUUUAGAUGUAUGUAUUGGAGGGGAAUAUUGGAGGAAGGGGGAGCAGGGGAGCACGCCCAGCCUCC
rnacentral:lncRNA from 1 species